ACUCCUGCGGGAGGCAGCAGUGGGGAAUUUUGGACAAUGGGCGAAAGCCUGAUCCAGCCAUGCCGCGUGCAGGAUGAAGGCCUUCGGGUUGUAAACUGCUUUUGUACGGAACGAAACGGCCUUUUCUAAUAAAGAGGGCUAAUGACGGUACCGUAAGAAUAAGCACCGGCUAACUACGUGCCAGCAGCCGCGGUAAUACGUAGGGUGCAAGCGUUAAUCGGAAUUACUGGGCGUAAAGCGUGCGCAGGCGGUUAUGUAAGACAGUUGUGAAAUCCCCGGGCUCAACCUGGGAACUGCAUCUGUGACUGCAUAGCUAGAGUACGGUAGAGGGGGAUGGAAUUCCGCGUGUAGCAGUGAAAUGCGUAGAUAUGCGGAGGAACACCGAUGGCGAAGGCAAUCCCCUGGACCUGUACUGACGCUCAUGCACGAAAGCGUGGGGAUCAAACAGGAUUAGAAACCCCGGUAGUCCCAUG
rnacentral:rRNA from 1 species